GUUGUUGUCGCAUCGAUGCUCAAUCGGAUUUAUCUUUCGUAUUUGAGGAAUAUAAUCAUAACAUAAAAUAAAAUAAAUCUGGUGUGGGUAACAAUAUAUCGUUCGGAAAAGUAACUAAGAAUUACGAUACGCAUUACUGAUAACUUUAACACCUUACUUAACGGAAUCAAAUGAACGAAGCAACCGAGACAGUUAUAUGAAUUCAUAUACAAAACGAACUUGUUUCGAGCAGAAUUAAUUAUCAUUGUUAAAACAUAAUAUUUGUACUAAAUAAAUAGAGACUGGUAAAUGACAUAGCAAACUAAAUAUUUAGAUCUAGGUACGUUACUUUCUAGAUUUCGGUGGAAUGAAUUUCACUAGAACGGACAAUGGUAAGCAAUACAUUUUC
rnacentral:lncRNA from 1 species